UACGUAGGGGGCAAGCGUUGUCCGGAAUCACUGGGCGUAAAGCGCACGUAGGCGGAUUGCUAAGUCAGGGGUGAAAUCCUGGAGCUCAACUCCAGAACUGCCUUUGAUACUGGUGAUCUUGAGUCCGGGAGAGGUGAGUGGAACUGCGAGUGUAGAGGUGAAAUUCGUAGAUAUCGGGAGGAACACCAGUGGCGAAGGCGGCGACCUGGGCCGAUACUGACGCUGAGGUGCGAAAGCGUGGGGAGCAAACAGG
rnacentral:rRNA from 1 species